AAUGCGGGCCGGGCCCCUCUGGCGAUCGCGCAUGCGAUCGUGAUGUCGGACCGCAUCG
rfam:Sphingobium sp. 66-54 SCNpilot_expt_1000_bf_scaffold_144, whole genome shotgun sequence.